CCCACUCUUGACAUCCUUCGCAAUGCUAUAGAGAUAUAGCGGAGGUUAACGGAGUGACAGAUGGUGCAUGGUUGUCGUCAGCUCGUGUCGUGAGAUGUUUGGUCAAGUCCUGCAACGAGCGCAACCCCUAUCUUUAGUUACUAACGAGUCAUGUCGAGGACUCUAGAGAUACUGCCUGGGUAACUGGGAGGAAGGUGGGGAUGACGUCAAAUCAUCAUGCCUCUUACGAGUGGGGCAACACACGUGCUACAAUGG
rnacentral:rRNA from 1 species